GAUGAACGCUAGCGGCAGGCCUAACACAUGCAAGUCGAGGGAGAAGCCCUUUCGGGGGCUGAAACCGGCGCACGGGUGCGUAACGCGUAUGCAACCUACCUUUCACAGGGGGAUAGCCCGAAGAAAUUUGGAUUAAUACCCCAUAAUAUUAUUGGAUGGCAUCAUUUGGUAAUUAAAACUGCGGUGGUGAAAGAUGGGCAUGCGUCCUAUUAGCUAGUUGGAGUGGUAACGGCACCCCAAGGCUACGAUAGGUAGGGGUCCUGAGAGGGAGAUCCCCCACACUGGUACUGAGACAGGGACCAGACUCCUACGGGAGGCAGCAGUGAGGAAUAUUGGUCAAUGGUCGGAAGACUGAACCAGCCAUGCCGCGUGCAGGAAGAAUGCCUUAUGGGUGGUAAACUGCUUUUAUAUGGGAAGAAUAAGGCGUACGUGUACGUUGAUGACGGUACCAUAUGAAUAAGCAUCGGCUAACUCCGUG
rnacentral:rRNA from 1 species